UACAGAGGUCCCAAGCGUUGUUCGGAUUCACUGGGCGUAAAGGGUGCGUAGGUGGUUGCGCAAGUCUGAUGUGAAAUCUCCGGGCUCAACCCGGAAAUGGCAUUGGAACUGCGUGGCUAGAGGGUUGGAGGGGGGACUGGAAUACUUGGUGUAGCAGUGAAAUGCGUAGAUAUCAAGUGGAACACCAGUGGCGAAGGCGAGUCCCUGGACAACACCUGACACUGGAGGCACGAAAGCUAGGGGAGCAAACAGG
rnacentral:rRNA from 1 species